rnacentral:misc_RNA from 1 species
GUGUUUGGCUUGUAUGAGCAUGUUGGAUCCUUGCUUGCGCAGCGACAAUGUCUCAUGCUUUCCAUUUCAGUUGUUGGCUCAAGUUUUACUUGGUCACYGUGUGUUUCCUGUGCCAAAUACCUAACAUGAAGGCAUUCUAAAUGAUGUACUUGAUAUUCACCUACUGAUGCUCUCCGAGAGGAGGGUGUUUUUGGUGGACCUCAAAUCAUGCAUUGUGUUUCACAUCCUUUGCAUGCAUGUUCAUGCUUUGGUUGUUGACCCAUGAUGUUGUGUUUGAUCUCUUGGAUACGGAAAAUUGAGAGGGUAUGGUCCUUUGGCCUUUAAUUCCCCAAAUCAUGCGUUCGACGCUAUUAGCGAACGACUGUCGUGCUUGUGUUGGACGAGUCCUUCGGACUUGGCUCAUAUGGCACCCAUGUCGAUGAGGAA